rnacentral:rRNA from 1 species
AUUGAACGCUGGCGGCAGGCCUAACACAUGCAAGUCGAACGGGUGGCGGACGGGUGAGUAAUGUCUGGGAAACUGCCUGAUGGAGGGGGAUAACUACUGGAAACGGUAGCUAAUACCGCAUAACAUCCGAUGUGCCCAGAUGGGAUUAGCUAGUUGGUGGGGUAACGGCGCACCAAGGCGACGAUCCCUAGCUGGUCUGAGAGGAUGACCAGCCACACGGGAACUGAGGAACGGGCCAGACGCCUAGGGGAGGCAGCAGUGGGGAAUAGGGCACAAUGGGAACAAGCCUGAUGCAGCCAUGCCGCGUGUAUGAAGAAGGCCUUCGGGUUGUAAAGUACUUUCAGUGGGGAGGCGGUACCCGCAGAAGAAGCACCGGCUAACUACGUGCCAGCAGCCGCGGUAAUAC